UAAUAAAAACCAUCACCUUAUUAACAGUUAUGCAUUCAGUAGGGCUACCUCAAUUUUUAUUUGUUAGAACAGUUAUACACUGGCAAAGGGAAAUUAAAAUUCAGGAGAAUGCAUGCUACAGCGAAGCCUGAACAGAAAAAGCCUCAAGAUACACGGGUCACAGUAAGGUCUUCCUCUCUCCUGACUCGGCUUCUCCUGCUGCUCACUCACGCAGGGAGAUCAGAAUUUGGUGGCUGUGAUAUUUCCACGGCAACACUGAUGACAGUGAUGUCACAGAUUCAACCCUGACAUAGCUUCAGGAUCAAGUACAAGGAGCAGAUGGGAUGCGAGGGAGAAAGCCCCUAUUUAAACACAAAUCUCUUUCAUAAGAAAGAAAGGCAUGAGCAAAGAAACAGAUUUCAAGACGAAGACCUGGCAGGAUUAUCGACAGUCUAGCUCUCAGGAGGGAAAGGACGAGAGAAGUUGAACGAGACCUGAUGCCUGAUGCUGGGCCUGAGUUGAGAUGCAAAUGGGUCUCCAAAAAGGAGGUCAGAUGGAGGCAGAGA